UUUACUAUGAUUAUUCAUCAUGAGUCUCUGUCCUUUUAUAUACUUUUCUGCGAACUUUGAAUUCAUAUUUUUGUAAUAACAAAAAUAAAUCAAUCUCCAUGGUUGACUCAGUCCUAGCUAUACUUAUCCUGUGAUAGUGUAAUACUAAUUAACACAAAAGGUCCUAUAGGUGUUACAAAAUCCUGAUGACUUCAUUCAUAAGUUUUGAUUAAAAAGAGUAAAAUAUAAUUUACCAGUGAAUUCAAUUUUGAAGUCAAGAUGUAUUUUUGUUUAUGUUAUAUAGUAUAUCUAUAGAUUGUUAUUGUAACUUCAAGCAGAUUUCUCAAUGUCUUAGUUUUGUUAUUAACAAACCUGAACGGCACCAAUGUUAUGUUAAUAUUCACAACCAUGUAGCUGUAAAUUAUCAGCCUAGCCUGGCAAUAGCAAUCAAAAUAUGAUGAAUAAUUAGAUGACAGAAAGCAUAUAUUUUUGUUGGUGUCCUUGAUAGCUUGCUGUUUGAUGCGAACCAAGGCUCCGUGUUGAAGACCGUACUUUAACCUAUAAAUGCUUUGUUUUUACAAAUUGGGACUUGGAUGAGAGAGUUGUCUCAUUGGCACUCAUACCACAACUUAUCUAUACUAUUUAACGAGAAUUAAGACCUCAUUUUGUUUGUCGCUUUUCUUGCUUCCACAACAAAUUAAUCAUCAUGCAUGUGUGUCCUAUAGAUACCAUGUAUAAUCGCAUUUGUUAUCUCCGCUUAUAAUUAUUCCGUUUGGGUUAUUUUAAAAGAAAAACGAUACUUGAGUAAAGGCGUCCGGAUAUUGUUUCAGUCAUCGGUUGGACUUUCAAGUAAUAGACUAGACCUCCGUUUAGAACGGUUUAUAGGUAAUUACACAAUCGUAAUUACUCUGCCAUUCUCGCUAUGCAGUAGUAAUCUCUUCGUGCAACCGGAAAGACUGAAUAAUUCCGAUUGAAAAUUACACGUUUUUUUCAUGAGGGUCGUUAUGGGGAUACUUCCAUGACGACAACCGUAAAUAUUCUUGCCAAAUGACGUUAAUGAUAUUUGUUGGUGUAUGACGAUAACAUGUACACUUUCUUUUAGACGAUUAAACAUAGUUUGAUUUUGACGAAUCACGUUAAUUUUGUCCCAAAAUUACGGUAUUAACGAUAAUUAUUUUAGACCUCUGACAAAUCACGAUAAGGAUAUUUUGACGAAUUAUGGUAAAUUUUUUACCAAUUUGACGUUGUAAAGUUAACGUUAUGCCCUUUGGAAAAUAAAAUAUUUUCUUUUUCUUCGAUCAUAUAGAGAUUAUAAUAUAUGUGUGUUCAUAGUAUAUGGAAAAUUAAUAGACAAUAAAAAUAAACCAACAAUUAAGGGCGGAGGGCUUAAAUAAAUUGCUCUGCCACCUAGUUCUUUUGAUACCUUUCCUGAAAUUAUCCAGUCAUAAAAGCUUUUACAAAUAUUUACCAUACAACAGUUUACAUAAUUUUAACUACGCUCUAAAUGCCCGCGAUUUCGCUGGUUUGUUCUAGUAUCUAUUAAUUGAACCAUGUUGUAAAGAGUACAUUGUCUCUGCAUUGUUUAUAAAUGAUCAAAUUAUUUAUUGUUGCCAUGUAUAUAAAAUGAUUCUUCUUAUGUAUUCUAUCAAGAUUUGCAUUGUAUAAUUUUUUUAAAGUUAUUCUAGUAAUAAAUAUAUCUAGUAAAAC
rnacentral:lncRNA from 1 species